AACGAACGCUGGCGGCGUGCCUAAUACAUGCAAGUCGAGCGAGAAAGCCUCUUCGGAGGUGAGUAAAGCGGCGCACGGGUGAGUAACACGUGGGCAACCUACCCUUGAGUCUGGGAUAACCCGGGGAAACCCGGGCUAAUACCAGAUACGGCUGCGGGGUCUUCGGACCCUGUGGAGAAAGAUGGCCUCUUCUUGAAAGCUAUCUCUCGAGGAUGGGCCCGCGUCCUAUUAGCUAGUUGGUGAGGUAACGGCUCACCAAGGCAAAGAUGGGUAGCUGGUCUGAGAGGAUGGCCAGCCACACUGGAACUGAGACACGGUCCAGACUCCUACGGGAGGCAGCAGUAGGGAAUUUUGGGCAAUGGGCGAAAGCCUGACCCAGCAACGCCGCGUGUGGGAUGAAGGCCCUCGGGUCGUAAACCACUGUCAGGAGGAAAGAAAAGCUGGCCGGCUAACAUCCGGUCGGCCUGACGGUACCUCCAAAGGAAGCACCGGCUAACUCCGUGCCAGCAGCCGCAGUAAC
rnacentral:rRNA from 1 species